UAGGGAAUCUUCGGCAAUGGACGAAAAUCUGACCGAGCAACGCCGCGUGGGUGAAGAAGGUUUUCGGAUCGUAAAACUCUGUUGUUAGAGAAGAACAAGGACGUUAGUAACUGAACGUCACCUUACGGUAUCUAACCAGAAAGCCACGGCUAACUACGUGCCAGCAGCCGCGGAAAUACGUAUGUGGAAAGCGUUGUCCGGAUUUGUUGGGCGUAAAGCGAGCGCAGGCGGUUUCUUAAGUCUGCUGUGAAAGCCCCCGGCUAAACCGGGGAGGGUCAUUGGAAACGGGGAGACGUGAGUGCAGAAGAGGAGAGUGGAAUUCCAUGUGUAGGGGUGAAAUGCGUAGAUAUAUGGAGGAACACCAGUGGCGAAGGCGGCUACCUGGUCUGUACCUGACGCUGAGGCUCGAAAGUGUGGGGAGCAAACAGG
rnacentral:rRNA from 1 species